GGGUCGCCACGCCACUACAUUUGAGUUUGGAGCAGUGGAGAAUAAGGACUCACUCUAGGGGGCUCCUGACACACGCCGCUAUGUUCAAACUUUCACACAUACAUGGCUACCUGGCCUUUCUUCUCCAGAUAGUCUUCCUCAUCCUCUUCAUUAUCUUCGCCAGGUACCACCCAGAUGCGGACGCUCGCCAUAAUCCCCUGGCGAAUAAUGAUACGCUCUCGCAGAAGUUGGAAAAAUAUAACACUGGCGAUUCCCACAGCGCGACCUACCCUAUGUUCCAGGACGUACAUGUGAUGAUCUUCGUCGGCUUUGGGUUCCUAAUGACAUUCCUCAAGAGGUAUGGGUUCAGUGCUGUCGGCCUCAACUUCAUGAUCGGGGUCCUCUGCCUCCAGUGGGCUCUCCUCGUCAACGGAUUCUUCCAUCUCAAGUACGGCUACAUCAUCAUCGAUCUCAACUCGUUGUUAGGGGCAGACUUCACGGCGGCAACUGUACUGAUCACUUUUGGGUCAGUGAUUGGCAAAACCACGCCCACCCAGCUGAUCAUAGUGACCAUGAUGGAGAUUCCGCUAUUUGCAAUCAACGAGGUCAUCGGCAGGACCUACCUAGGGGCAAUUGACAUGGGUGACUCUAUGUUUGUGCACACCUUUGGCGCCUACUUCGGGUUGGCUCUCAGUCUCUUGCUGUACCGCCGUGAUGCCUCCACCGAAAAGGAAGGGUCCAGCUAUCAGUCUGACAUAUUCGCUAUGAUCGGUACAAUUUUUCUUUGGCUGUACUGGCCAUCGUUCAACGCUGGGGCGGCCCCUGGUGACGACCAGCAUCGAGCCGUCAUCAACACAUACAUCUCCCUCUCUGCCUGCUGCUUCACUGCCUUCGCCCUCUCUUCCAUCCUCCACAAAGAAAAGAAAUUUGACAUGGUUCACAUCCAGAACAGUACACUGGCGGGAGGUGUGGCUGUGGGCACCGCAGCAGAUCUCAUGAUCCACCCGUGGGGUGCCGUCCUCAUUGGCAUGAUUGCUGGUAUCAUCUCCGUUGCCGGCUACAUGUUUCUUACUCCCUUCUUGGCAUCUCGUCUUCGGAUCCAUGACACCUGUGGAGUGAACAACCUCCAUGGGAUGCCUGGUAUUCUGGCUGGCAUAAUCGGAUGCGUUGCAGCGGCCAUGGCAACGGAGGCCACCUAUGGUCCCAGCUUGUAUCAGAUCUUCCCUGCCCGAGCUCCUGUAGAGGGAUCAGAGGACUUGCUUCGGUUACAGGAGUUCAUACCUGACUUGGAGGCUGGGUCGGGCCUCUCGGCAUCAGGUCAGGCUGCUAACCAGAUUCUUGCCCUCAUCAUCACCUUGGCUAUAGCCACUGUUGGAGGAAUUGUCACGGGCCUGGUUCUAAAACUGAGCCCAUUUGCCUUGCUCAAGACGGAGGAGCUGUAUGAGGACGAAAAGUACUGGCUGAUGGAGGAAGGAGAGGAGGAGAUCAGCGACAACAUACCCAUGAACCCCAGAGCUGACAACGGGACCUCCAAGUAAAGCCCCACACAAGUCACCAACCCAGCGACCGUGUGACUACUUGCUCUUGUUUCGUGGAUGCCUGUAUGAGCCCUAUGCUGCCUUCAUAAGAUCGGGUGCUCUCCUGGCCAAGCUCACGUCUGCAUCAGAGGUGGAGUUUGCAUUGAUCCUGUGUUGCCUUGGAAAUUCUCAUCCCCAUGCUGCAAAUGCUGUAUCUUUUCGGUACCCGUACAUUACACAGAAAUUUGGGCCAGUUUGUUACACAGUUGAUUAAGAAAACAAUGUUUUUCUUGAAGACUGUAAGUCUUAUGCAGUAUAUAGUACAUUGACAAUACUGUAUUACAUAUGUAUAGCUUUACUUUAUGCAUUCUUUCAUUCAUCUUGUCCUAGCACAUUAUCAAGCCUAGUUUUGUUUUUCACCUUUUGUGUUUUAAAUGUAUAUUAGACAUUUUCAUGACAACAAAACUAAAUUCAUCUCUUGAAAAUUCUUUAUAUCUUCAUCUACUAGCUUGAUGAAUUGAAUUUAUAUUCAUCAGAUUGAGUCAAGUGUUAAGUAGUAAUCAUUUCAAUAUUGGUUUAAAAAAUUACAAGAGCACAAAAUAAAGGCAUUUAGCAUUAGUAUUCAAACUCAUCAUUAGAUUUUACUUCAGAAUAAAAAUCUAACCCCCUAGAGUACUGGCAGUACUUCACUGUUCGUUUCUUUCAUAACAAAACAAAUAUAUAAAACAUAACUAAUACUGUAUCUUAAUAUUGCUCAAAUUACUUUUGGAUUGGACAUUACCUGUAUUGUGAACUGAAUUUUAAUCCUCUAAAAUAUAUAUAUAAUACUGAAAAUAUUAUCACAUUACUUUGUUGUGAGCAGAUGGUGAUACCUUGAACAUUGUUGAGGUGCAAUGACUCCUGUAACUUUUAUACGCCAUUUGUAGUACUGUAGAGUAUAAGGAACAUUAAAGGAAACAAAGUCA